GAGUUUGAUCUGGCUCAGGAUGAACGCUGGCGGCGUGCUUAACACAUGCAAGUCGAACGAAGCACCUUGAUUUGAUUCUUCGGAUGAAGAUCUUGGUGACUGAGUGGCGGACGGGUGAGUAACGCGUGGGUAACCUGCCUCAUACAGGGGGAUAACAGUUAGAAAUGACUGCUAAUACCGCAUGAGACCACAACACCGCAUGAUGAAGGGGUCAAAGAUUUAUCGCUUUGAGAGGGGUUCGCGUCCCAUUAGGUAGUUGGAGGGGUAACGGCCCACCAAGCCAACGAUGGGUAGCCGAGCUGAGAGGCUGAUCGGCCACACUGGAACUGAGACACGGUCCAGACUCCUACGGGAGGCAGCAGUAGGGAAUAUUGGGCAAUGGGCGCAAGCCUGACCCAGCAACGCCGCGUGAGGGAAGAAGGUUUUCGGAUUGUAAACCUCUGUCCUAUGUGACGAAGGAAGUGACGGUAGCAUAGGAGGAAGCCCCGGCUAACUACGUGCCAGCAGCCGCGGUAAUUC
rnacentral:rRNA from 1 species